GAUGAAGAACGUAGUGAAAUGCGAUAAGUAAUGUGAAUUGCAGAAUUCAGUGAAUCAUCGAGUCUUUGAACGCACAUUGCGCCCCCUGGUAUUCCGGGGGGCAUGCCUGUCCGAGCGUCAUUGCUGCCCUCAAGCACGGCUUGUGUGUUGGGCCCCCGCCCCCCGGUCCCGGGGGGCGGGCCCGAAAGGCAGCGGCGGCACCGCGUCCGGUCCUCGAGCGUAUGGGGCUUUGUCACCCGCUCUGUAGGCCCGGCCGGCGCCCGCCGGCGACCCCAAUCAAUCUUUUUCAGGUUGACCUCGGAUCAGGUAGGGAUACCCGCUGAACUUAAGCAUAUCAAUAAGCGGAGGA
rnacentral:misc_RNA from 1 species